UUUCAGAGUUUCUAGAGCAGACACAGAGCUCACAACAGGCUUCAGGCGCCAUUUUAGUGACUUUAACAAUAUAUUAAAUUUUAAUUUCGGUCUAGCUGACAUUAGGUUAUGUACGCAGCACGCAAUUGAACCACAUAUUUUAGAAGCCAAAGGUUCAAAUUAGCUGGGAGCAGCUUCACUUAAUUAUAACAGUGGUUUUGUUAGGAAAACAGUUUCUGUAUACCGGAUACUAAAUUGCGCUGACGCUCAACGGCUAACGUAUCUAGCUAAUCGCUACUGUUAGCACAACAUCAACAGCAAGC